GGACGAAGUAGACGCGGAGGACGUAGACCAAGGCCACGCCGAGGGUUGCAAGCCAGCUGUGGAGGACGUGCGGCGUCGUUUUGUCGAGCAGGUGCUGGUAUCGGUGCGACACGCCGAAGCUCCACGCCUGGACGGCGUCGAGCGGAGAUCCUCCGAGACGACGGGUCCUCCGCCGACAACGACGACGCGGCGAGACCCACUCCCGCCGC
rnacentral:lncRNA from 1 species